rnacentral:rRNA from 1 species
AGGGGACCUUCUGACCUUGCGCUUUCGCAUGAACCUACGUAUGAUUACCUUGUUGGUUAGGUAAUGGCUCACCAAAGGGAUCAUCCAUGACUGGACUCAUAGGAUAAUCGAUCGGGUGAUAACUGACACUGGGACCGAACUCCUGCCGGAAGCCCCACUGGGGAAUAUUGUACGAUGUCUUAAACCCUGAUCCAACCUUGCACCGAGUGUGAACAAGGGCUUCAGAUUGGUUUUCACUUCAAAUUGCUAUGAAGGGUUGUAAAAUAAUACGCUGCAAUUUUGACGUUACCCAUGGAAUAACCACCGGCUAACUCUGUGCCAACAUCCGCGGUAAUACCCAGGGUGCAAGCGUUAAUCGGAAUUACUGCCCGAAAAGCGCGCGUAGGUGGUUUGUUAAGUUGGAUGUGAAAGCCCCGGGCUCAACCCUGGGAACUGCAUCCAAAACUGGCAAGCUAACUGUACAGACUUGGGUGGUGGAAUUUCCUGUGUAAUUCCUGAAAUGCGUAGAUAUAUGGAAGGAACACCAGUGGCAAACGCGACCACCUGGACUGAUACUGACACUGUAGGUGCGACUGCGUGAGCGAGCAAACAGGAUUAGAUACACUGGUAGUCCACGCCGUAAACGAUGUCAACUACCAUG